CAAGUUCCGAGUAAUAUGACGCUGGGGAUAUAUACCCUCUAACCCAGGUUGCUAGUGGUAGGUCAGCAACGGACUGGAGGGCUCGACGGCGUAAGAAAUUCAAAAAACAUAUGAUAUGUUGAUGUUGUAGUAUAUAUAGAUUGUGCAGAUACGGCCACGUGUGCCCAGGCAUGCAAAAGUUGCAAUUUUUAACAUGAACUUGUGAAAGGUGGAAAAUAGAAUAAACCCCCAAGGCUUAGCUCUAAGAGUAAUUUCGAGAUCCCGAGGGUGGCGUGAGAAGUGAUAAAAAAUUAGAAAUCUUGAUAGUUGGUUGGCUCUUUCUCGGGGCAUCAGGCAGACUCGAAGAUUGAUGCAGAACUGUGCUUGACGUGAAGGAGCAGCGAGCAACUGGACGGUGACUUGGGGCAGAGGGAAACUGGACGAUUAUGAUAACGAAUCUUGGG
rnacentral:sRNA from 1 species